rnacentral:lncRNA from 1 species
CCUGUCUUCAACAAAUUUCGUGGUUCAAGAAAUACAUGGAAUGGACAAUGAAUGUAAAUUAAUAAGAUGAUAAAAUCUGUCCAAUUCAAGUAAACACCAACUCAAGGGAAUAUAAAAUAUAGCAAAUUGUUAUGCAAAUUUAAUUCCAAUCCUAAAAGGGAAGAAUCCGAAGACGCAGUCCCCUGCAAUUCUGAAAACCAACUAUAUCUUGUUCUAAAUACAUGAUUCACCACAAGAAUAUUUUCCCCCUGUCUAUUAUGCUUUGUAAGAAUCUGAAAUUGCACAAAAACAACUAUAUAUUGUUCUGAAAAAUUUGAAAUCCACCACAAGAAUAUUUUCAACUAAUCAAUCAAAAUCUAUUCCACUGGUUUCAUACUAACCCGUUCUUCU